UUUCAACAACGGAUCUCUUGGCUCUCGCAUCGAUGAAGAACGCAGCGAAAUGCGAUAAGUAAUGUGAAUUGCAGAAUUCAGUGAAUCAUCGAAUCUUUGAACGCACCUUGCGUCCUCUGGUAUUCCGGAGGGCAUGCCUGUUUGAGUGUCAUGU
rnacentral:rRNA from 1 species